rnacentral:rRNA from 1 species
UGCAGUUGAGCGAUGAACGGACAAUAGCAAUAUUUGAAGGGAUUAGCAGCGAACGGGUGAGUAACACGUGGGAAUCUGCCCUAGGGACUGGGAUAGCCUGACGAAAGUCAGGGUAAUACCGGAUAAGAUCUUCGGAUUAAAGGCGCAAGCCGCUCUAGGAUGAGCCCGCGUUCCAUCAGCUAGUUGGUAGGGUAAAAGCCUACCAAGGCGACGACGGAUAGCUGGUCUGAGAGGACGGUCAGCCACAAUGGAACUGAGACACGGUCCAUACACCUACGGGUGGCAGCAGUCGAGAAUCAUUCACAAUGGGCGAAAGCCUGAUGGUGCGACGCCGCGUGGGGGAUGAAGGCCUUAGGGUCGUAAACCCCUGUCGGUUGUGAGUAAAGCCCGGUUCGAAUCGGGUCUGAUAUUAGCAACAAAGGAAGGGGCGGCUAACUCCGUGCCAGCAGCCGCGGUAAUACGGAGGCCCCAAGCGUUGUUCGGAUUUACUGGGCGUAAAGCGUGCGUAGGCGGCAAGAUAAGUUUGGCGUGAAAUCCCCGGGCCCAACCCGGAAAUUGCGCUGGAAACUAUCUAGCUAGAGGUGUGGAGGGGA